rnacentral:rRNA from 1 species
AACGAACGCUGGCGGCGCGCUUAACACAUGCAAGUCGAACGAGAAGGCGUAGCAAUACGCUUGUACAGUGGCGAACGGGUGAGUAAUACGUGGGCGACCUACCCUCGAGUGGGGAAUAACCCGCCGAAAGGCGGGCUAAUGCCGCGUACGCUUCCAUCUUUAUGGAGGUGGAAGGAAAGCCGUGCCGUGGGCACGGCGCUCAAGGAUGGGCUCACGUCCUAUCAGCUUGUUGGAGGGUAACGGCCUACCAAGGCUCCGACGGGUAGCUGGUCUGAGAGGACGAUCAGCCACACUGGCACUGCGACACGGGCCAGACUCCUACGGGAGGCAGCAGUGAGGAAUAUUGCGCAAUGGGCGAAAGCCUGACGCAGCGACGCCGCGUGGGGGAUGAAGGUCUUCGGAUUGUAAACCCC